rnacentral:misc_RNA from 1 species
GAUUCUCGGUCCUCUGUAGUUCCUUUCCUCAAAAGCUCAAUAAACCUCUGCUUCUGUAAGCAAAAGAGAAGACGAUGAUCAUCAAGAACAAAAGGCGCAUGCACACGCAAGAGAUCAAUAGCGGCAUCAAUGUCACCAAACUCCACUAAACGUCUGAUCUGCCGAAUAAGCAAUCUUGACUGAUAAGAGGAAGAAGAUGAAGAUGAGGUUGACGAAGACGGCGAUAGAGACGUCGAAGGCGAAGUUGAAGGAGAACCCGAGUCUUCGAUUAGGUUUUCCGAUUUGACGAAAUCGAUAAUCAGUGUGUCUAGUGCCU